GAUGAACGCUGGCGGCGUGCCUAAUACAUGCAAGUCGAGCGAACAGACGAGGAGCUUGCUCCUCUGACGUUAGCGGCGGACGGGUGAGUAACACGUGGAUAACCUACCUAUCAGACUGGGAUAACUUCGGGAAACCGGAGCUAAUACCGGAUAAUAUAUUGAACCGCAUGGUUCAAUAGUGAAAGACGGUUUUGCUGUCACUUAUAGCUGGAUCCGCGCCGCAUUAGCUAGUUGGUAAGGUAACGGCUUACCAAGGCAACGAUGCGUAGCCGACCUGAGAGGGUGAUCGGCCACCCUGGAACUGGGACACGGUCCAGACUCCUACGGGAGGCAGCAGUAGGGAAUCUUCCGCAAUGGGCGAAAGCUUGACGGAGCAACGCCGCGUGAGUGAUGAAGGUCUUCGGAUCGUAAAACUCUGUUAUUAGGGAAGAACAAAUGUGUAAGUAGCUAUGCACGUCUUGACGGUACCUAAUCAGAAAGCCACGGCUAACUACGUG
rnacentral:rRNA from 1 species